rnacentral:misc_RNA from 1 species
UUGUUUUGUUUUACGAAUUUUUCACGUUCUUUGGACAUUGUUUGGUUUGGUGGUCCCUCGCCCCGGAGGACGCGGGAACGGUUCACGGUGUGUGUGUGGAUUCGAAAACGGCCGCGAGGCCAAUCUCUAAUGAUCCUUCCGCAGGUUCACCUACGGAAA